GAUGAAGAACGCAGUGAAAUGCGAUACUUGGUGUGAAUUGCAGAAUCCCGCGAAUCAUCGAAUUUUUGAACGCAAGUUGCGCCCGAAGCCAUUCGGCCGAGGGCACGUCUGCCUGGGUGUCACGCAUCGUUGCCCCCCCAAACUCCGGUUCGGGCGGGGCGGAAGUUGGCCUCCCGUGCGUGCCUGCGCGCGCGGUUAGCCCAAAAGCGAGUCCUCGGCGAUGAGCGCCACGACAAUCGGUGGUUUUUUUACCCUCGUUCCUCGUCGUGCGUGCCCCGUCGCCCGAACGCGCUCUUGCAACCCUUACGCGUCGCCUCGGUGGCGCUCCCAACGCGACCCCAGGUCAGGCGGGACUACCCGCUGAGUUUAAGCAUAUCAAUAAGCGGAGGA
rnacentral:misc_RNA from 1 species